UAACGUUUGCAGCUGUGAAAGUUAUUGAUAUCGUAUCUUACCGCGGUAAACAAAAGAACCUUCAUCUUGGAACAAUUCUAACAAACGGAACAUUAUUGUAGCACUAGUUAAUAUACCUUUUUGCACUAAUCAUUUCUUUUUGUGAAAUUCCAUUGCUCUUUGACCUAACAUCAAUCAAACGUGUAAGAAAAUCAAAUGGCCUUGUUUUCUGUCCUACAUCACACAAUAGAUACUAGCUUAGAUGGUACAGUGUGUAGUUAGCUGUAUCGUUGGAUAUGCAGGUGACGGUGAGCAACCGGUGCUUUUAGCUUUCCUCGGUACUAACUGUGACAUUCUAGGCCAACUAAGG
rnacentral:lncRNA from 1 species